rnacentral:misc_RNA from 1 species
UCCGGUUUGUCAUCGGCAGUCUCCCAUGAGUCCCCAACUUAAUGAUGGCAACAUAGGACAGGGGUUGCGCUCGUUGCGGGACAUAACCCAACAUCUCACGACACGAGCUGACGACAACCAUGCACCACCUGUUUACGAGUGUCCAAAGAGUUGACCAUUUCUGGCCCGUUCUCGUAUAUGUCAAGCCUUGGUAAGGUUCUUCGCGUUGCAUCGAAUUAAUCCGCAUGCUCCGCCGCUUGUGCGGGUCCCCGUCAAUUCCUUUGAGUUUUAGCCUUGCGGCCGUACUCCCCAGGCGGGGUGCUUAAUGCGUUAGCUGCGGCACGGAGGACGUGGAAGUCCCCCACACCUAGCACCCACCGUUUACGGCGUGGACUAC